AACCGCGGCGGGUGCUAUACUGCAAGUCGAGCGGACAGAUGGGAGCUUGCUCCCUGAUGUUAGCGGCGGACGGGUGAGUAACACGUGGGUAACCUGCCUGUAAGACUGGGAUAACUCCGGGAAACCGGGGCUAAUACCGGAUGGUUGUUUGAACCGCAUGGUUCAAACAUAAAAGGUGGCUUCGGCUACCACUUACAGAUGGACCCGCGGCGCAUUAGCUAGUUGGUGAGGUAACGGCUCACCAAGGCAACGAUGCGUAGCCGACCUGAGAGGGUGAUCGGCCACACUGGGACUGAGACACGGCCCAGACUCCUACGGGAGGCAGCAGUAGGGAAUCUUCCGCAAUGGACGAAAGUCUGACGGAGCAACGCCGCGUGAGUGAUGAAGGUUUUCGGAUCGUAAAGCUCUGUUGUUAGGGAAGAACAAGUACCGUUCGAAUAGGGCGGUACCUUGACGGUACCUAACCAGAAAGCCACGGCUAACUACGUGCCAGCAGCCGCGGUAAUACGUAGGUGGCAAGCGUUGUCCGGAAUUAUUGGGCGUAAAGGGCUCGCAGGCGGUUUCUUAAGUCUGAUGUGAAAGCCCCCGGCUCAACCGGGGAGGGUCAUUGGAAACUGGGGAACUUGAGUGCAGAAGAGGAGAGUGGAAUUCCACGUGUAGCGGUGAAAUGCGUAGAGAUGUGGAGGAACACCAGUGGCGAAGGCGACUCUCUGGUCUGUAACUGACGCUGAGGAGCGAAAGCGUGGGGAGCGAACAGGAUUAGAUACCCUGGUAGUCCACGCCGUAAACGAUGAGUGCUAAGUGUUAGGGGGUUUCCGCCCCUUAGUGCUGCAGCUAACGCAUUAAGCACUCCGCCUGGGGAGUACGGUCGCAAGACUGGAACUCAAAGGAAUUGACGGGGGCCCCACAAGCGGUGGAGCAUGGGGUUUAAUUCGAAGCACCCCAAGAACUUACCAGGUCUUGAAUCCUCUG
rnacentral:rRNA from 1 species